CCUCCGGGUGGCAGCAGUGGGGAAUAUUGCACAAUGGGGGAAACCCUGAUGCAGCGACGCCGCGUGAGUGAAGAAGUAAUUCGUUAUGUAAAGCGCUAUCAGCCGGGAAGAAGAUGACGGUACCUGAGUAAGAAGCCCCGGCUAACAACGUGCCAGCGGCCGCGGUAGUACGUAGGGGGCAAGCGUUAUCCGGAUUUACUGGUGUAAAGGGAUCGUAGGCGGCAGUGCAAGUCUGGAGUGAAAGGCGGGGGCUCAACCCGCGGACUGCUCUGGAGACUGUACGGCUGGAGUGCAGGAGAGGUAAGUGGAAUUCCCGGUGUAGCGGUGAAAUGCGUAGAUAUUAGGAGGAACACCAGUGGCGAAGGCGGGUUACUGGACUGUAACUGACGUUGAGGCUCGAAAGCGUGGGGAGCAAACAGGAUUAGAUACCCCGGUAGUC
rnacentral:rRNA from 1 species